rnacentral:rRNA from 1 species
GACGAACGCUGGCGGCGUGCCUAAUACAUGCAAGUAGAACGCACAGUUUAUACCGUAGCUUGCUACACCAUAGACUGUGAGUUGCGAACGGGUGAGUAACGCGUAGGUAACCUGCCUGGUAGCGGGGGAUAACUAUUGGAAACGAUAGCUAAUACCGCAUAAUAUUGAUUAUUGCAUGAUAAUUAAUUGAAAGGUGCAAUUGCACCACUACCAGAUGGACCUGCGUUGUAUUAGCUAGUAGGUGAGGUAACGGCUCACCUAGGCGACGAUACAUAGCCGACCUGAGAGGGUGAUCGGCCACACUGGGACUGAGACACGGCCCAGACGCCUACGGGAGGCAGCAGUAGGGAAUCUUCGGCAAUGGACGAAAGUCUGACCGAGCAACGCCGCGUGAGUGAAGAAGGGUUUCGGAUCGUAAAGCUCUGUUGUAAGAGAAGAACGGGUGUGAGAGUGGAAAGUUCACACUGUGACGGUAGCUUACCAGAAAGGGACGGCUAACUACGUG